rnacentral:rRNA from 1 species
AAAACUCUGUUGUUGGAGAAGAACAGGGACUAGAGUAACUGUUAGUCUUUUGACGGUAUCCAACCAGAAAGCCACGGCUAACUACGUGCCAGCAGCCGCGGUAAUACGUAGGUGGCAAGCGUUGUCCGGAUUUAUUGGGCGUAAAGCGAGCGCAGGCGGUUUCUUAGGUCUGAUGUGAAAGCCUUCGGCUUAACCGGAGAAGUGCAUCGGAAACCAGGAGACUUGAGUGCAGAAGAGGACAGUGGAACUCCAUGUGUAGCGGUGAAAUGCGUAGAUAUAUGGAAGAACACCAGUGGCGAAGGCGGCUGUCUGGUCUGUAACUGACGCUGAGGCUCGAAAGCAUGGGUAGCGAACAGGAUUAGAUACCCUGGUAGUCCAUGCCGUAAACGAUGAGUGCUAAGUGUUGGAGGGUUUCCGCCCUUCAGUGCUGCAGCUAACGCAUUAAGCACUCCGCCUGGGGAGUACGACCGCAAGGUUGAAACUCAAAGGAAUUGACGGGGGCCCGCACAAGCGGUGGAGCAUGUGGUUUAAUUCGAUGCUACGCGAAGAACCUUACCAGGUCUUGACAUCUUCUGCCAACCUAAGAGAUUAGGCGUUCCCUUCGGGGACAGAAUGACAGGUGGUGCAUGGUUGUCGUCAGCUCGUGUCGUGAGAUGUUGGGUUAAGUCCCGCAACGAGCGCAACCCUUAUUGUUAGUUGCCAGCAUUCAGUUGGGCACUCUAGCAAGACUGCCGGUGACAAACCGGAGGAAGGUGGGGAUGACGUCAAAUCAUCAUGCCCCUUAUGACCUGGGCUACACACGUGCUACAAUGGACGGUACAACGAGUCGCGAAACCGCGAGGUCAAGCUAAUCUCUUAAAGCCGUUCUCAGUUCGGAUUGUAGGCUGCAACUCGCCUACAUGAAGUUGGAAUCGCUAGUAAUCGUGGAUCAGCAUGCCACGGUGAAUACGUUCCCGGGCCUUGUACACACCGCCCGUCACACCAUGAGAGUUUGUAACACCCAAAGCCGGUGAGGUAACCUUCGGGGACCAGCCGUCUAAGGUGGGACAGAUGAUUAGGGUGAAGUCGUAACAAGGUAGCCG